ACGUUCCGUGUCCACGGUUAGGCCGCGCGUCCGUCCGGUUUGCCGCUCGAAUGCGCCGAACGAUUACGUAAAACUGUCAGUGACCGAGCGCGGAAUGAGAAAUGGUCAGAGUAGUGCGUCGCAACAUUGUACAUGUGAAUACCGGCAUCUGCCUCACGUCGUGACUUGCCUGCUUCGGUGAAAAUCGGAGUCUGGAGUCCGUGAAUUGCAACAACGAAUUCGUCUGACUGCCGCUAGGCAAAUGCGACGCGGGACUCCGGAGACGCGAGUCUUCUUUCUUCGUAGCCGCUUGAUUCCUCGCGCACACUCCGCAUAAUGGUUCGAGCUUCCUUGUCCCUGCUUUGUCGUCAGUGGUCGUCAGAGGUCCGAGACCUGAAAUUCCUGCCGUCGCUACUUGCGACCAGUUGCUUGCUCUUCAGGAACGUACAUGGCAAGCGCCUGGAGGGCUCUACUAUUCUUCGAUCGUUUCUGUCGUGUGUCAUUAUUUACUAAUUGUAAAAAUUUAAAGAAAUGGCUCGUAUAGUUCAAAAGCGAUAAAAAAAUAGAGGCCAAAAUCGAACAAAUUAAGAUGUAAAAAUUUAGUGGAAUUUAUUAUUAUAAUGCAAAUUAAUAAUAACUUGUACGUUUUGACUUAUUUAGUUUUCCUCAGUAGUCUUACAUAAAUAUAAAAUAAAUUAAAACAUUACAAAUAAA